CCCGGGAGACACAAAGAGCGGCUCCGCGACGCCGGCCCUGUAGCCCGCGGGCGGGAGGCCACCCACACCCGCCCCGGCCGAGCCCCCUCCACGGCGCUGCCAGGCCCCGGCCGAGGACGCGGGGCCCCCGCUCGCUGCCUUCCUUCCGCGGGGAGCCGGGCGCUGCCUGCGCUCAUGCCCGCGCUGAAACUGAACACCCGCGGCGCGGGGCCGCCAGGGAGGCGGAGG
rnacentral:lncRNA from 1 species